rnacentral:misc_RNA from 1 species
AACGGUCUAUACCUGCGGUACCUGCGGAAGGAUCAUUACCGAGUUUUCAACUCCCUAACCCUUCUGUGAACCUACCUAUCGUUGCUUCGGCGGACUCGCCCCAGCCCGGACGCGGACUGGACCAGCGGCCCGCCGGGGACCUCAAACUCUUGUAUUCCAGCAUCUUCUGAAUACGCCGCAAGGCAAAACAAAUGAAUCAAAACUUUUAGCAACGGAUCUCU